rnacentral:rRNA from 1 species
CGAAAGCCUGACGGAGCAAGACCGCGUGGGGGAAGAAGGCUCUUGGGUUGUAAACCCCUUUUCUCUGGGAAGAAAGUUGUGAAAGCAGCCUGACGGUACCAGAGGAAUCAGCAUCGGCUAACUCCGUGCCAGCAGCCGCGGUAAGACGGAGGAUGCAAGCGUUAUCCGGAAUGAUUGGGCGUAAAGCGUCCGCAGGUGGCAGUUCAAGUCUGCUGUCAAAGACCGGGGCUUAACUUCGGAAAGGCAGUGGAAACUGAACAGCUAGAGUAUGGUAGGGGCAGAGGGAAUUCCUGGUGUAGCGGUGAAAUGCGUAGAGAUCAGGAAGAACAUCGGUGGCGAAGGCGCUCUGCUGGACCAUAACUGACACUCAGGGACGAAAGCUAGGGGAGCG